UAUAUAUAUUUUUAAAAAAGAAAAAAAGCGAUUUUUUUGGUCGUGGCUUAAUUUGAAUAAUAUUUGUUGAAAUAAAAUAAAAAAACCUGUUAAAAAUUUCAAUUCUUUUAAGAAAAAAAGUUAAUUUUUGUGGUAAAUAAGUUGUAAUAAAACAAAGUGUGGUGUUCUUUUUAACAUUCCAGCUUUUCGAUCGAUAUAUUGGAUUACUUUAAAUAGUGUUGUUUGAAAACUUUUACAAGUUUUGGUGUAACUACUGUUUAAUAAAAUUAUAAGGUAAAUAAAUAAAUUUAUAUAUAAAUAUCUAUACUUUUUGGGUAAGUUAUUUAUAACAUUAAGAUUGGUCAGUUUGUUUGUUAAUAUUUUUACCUAAAACUAUUGAAAUAUUACAAUAAUCAAUCACUAUAAAUGUAAAAUUUCUGGUUUUGAAAUUUCAAAAUUCAUUAACAUCAAUCAAAGGUUGAUUGUAACCGCUUGCGUGGGAAUACUUAUAAAAUAAUAUAUCUAAACUUAAUGAGAAUUACAGUAAAUUAAUUAACUUGAAUUUUAAAAUAUAAACUUAUAACUUCUUUAUUAUGAAGGUUAAAAAAAGAUGUCAUUUGAUUUAAAUAGAAUUUUACAAAAAAGGGUUUAAAUAAAAUGUUAAAAAAAUAAAUAAUUUUAUUAUAAAAUUAAUUGUAUUAUAAUGUUUUAGUUGCUAGAUGACUAAUUUAUUAACAUGACCUACUCAAAGCUCAAGUAUAUUUUUACAUUAAAAUUACUUUAUUUUUCUUUCAGUUGUCUAUAGCAAAAAUCUAUUUAUAUUUCCUAAAAAAAA